rnacentral:rRNA from 1 species
AGGACGAACGCUGGCGGCGUGCCUAACACAUGCAAGUCGAGCGGAGUUAACAAGAGGAAGUUUCGGAUGGAAUUUGUUAAUUAGCGGCGGACGGGUGAGUAACGCGUGAGCGACCAACCUUGCACAGGGGGAUAACGGACCGAAAGGUUCACUAAUACCGCAUGAGACCACGGUGUUGCAUGACACAGAGGUCAAAGGAGCAAUCCGGUGCAAGACGGGCUCGCGUCCGAUUAGGUAGUUGGUGGGGUAAUGGCCCACCAAGCCUAUGAUCGGUAGCCGACCUGAGAGGGUGAUCGGCCACAUUGGAACUGAGAUACGGUCCAAACUCCUACGGGAGGCAGCAGUGGGGAAUAUUGGGCAAUGGGGGGAAACCCUGACCCAGCAACGCCGCGUGAAGGAAGAAGGUUUUCGGAUUGUAAACUUCUGUCCUUGGUGAAGAGAAGAAGACGGUAGCCAAGGAGGAAGCCCCGGCUAACUACGUGCCAGCCGCCGC